AACUUCGGUUUACUACCGUGUGUGUUCGCAGGUUUGCACGGUCAGAGCCGACAGAAUGGAUCUUGGAGGAGGGGGCCGUUGCCGGGCCUUCCGGGGAGCCACGUGUAGCCGUCCGCAACCUUCAGUCUCCUACCUCUGUGUUUUUAUAUCAGGUUAAUUGCUGGCAGAAAGCAGACUUUGAAUGGACCAGGAUGAAUCCAGGAUUGGUAAAGAAUUGGUCUGGAGCCCUGUGUGCCCCAGAGCAGUGAGUAGGUUGAUUGCAGCCUGAUAUAACCCUCGGCUUGGUUCUGUCUUGUAACAGUAUUUCAGUUUAUGGAGUUGGAACACAAGAUCUCUUGAAAAAGAUUGUCUCUGCUUUCCUGAGAAAGCGUGAUAGUUCUGAUGAAUCAGUCCAGCAAGGCUGUGUAACCCACGUGUCCGGAGCUGAAAAGCUGGUGUCUGCUUUGAAGAAUCAAGGAUUAUUAUAUUGUUAAACUUGGUGAAGUUUUCUAACUUAGAGCCUUUCUAUCUGGAGAAAGACAAUAAAAUGCUUUAAAUUAAAA